rnacentral:rRNA from 1 species
AUUGAACGCUGGCGGCAGGCCUAACACAUGCAAGUCGAACGGUAACAGGAAGAAGCUUGCUUCUUUGCUGACGAGUGGCGGACGGGUGAGUAAUGUCUGGGAAACUGCCUGAUGGAGGGGGAUAACUACUGGAAACGGUAGCUAAUACCGCAUAACGUCGCAAGACCAAAGAGGGGGACCUUCGGGCCUCUUGCCAUCGGAUGUGCCCAGAUGGGAUUAGCUAGUAGGUGGGGUAACGGCUCACCUAGGCGACGAUCCCUAGCUGGUCUGAGAGGAUGACCAGCCACACUGGAACUGAGGCACGGUCCAGACUCCUACGGGAGGCAGCAGUGGGGAAUAUUGCACAAUGGGCGCAAGCCUGAUGCAGCCAUGCCGCGUGUAUGAAGAAGGCCUUCGGGUUGUAAAGUACUUUCAGCGGGGAGGAAGGGAGUAAAGUUAAUACCUUUGCUCAUUGACGUUACCCGCAGAAGAAGCACCGGCUAACUCCGUGCCAGCAGCCGCGGUAAUACGGAGGGUGCAAGCGUUAAUCGGAAUUACUGGGCGUAAAGCGCACGCAGGCGGUUUGUUAAGUCAGAUGUGAAAUCCCCGGGCUCAACCUGGGAACUGCAUCUGAUACUGGCAAGCUUGAGUCUCGUAGAGGGGGGUAGAAUUCCAGGUGUAGCGGUGAAAUGCGUAGAGAUCUGGAGGAAUACCGGUGGCGAAGGCGGCC